GGCCCAGUAGCGGCGGCUCAGUUGCUGCCAUGGAGUCAGCCGGGCUAGAGCAGCUCCUACGGGAGCUGCUGCUACCGGACACCGAGCGCAUCCGUCGGGCCACGGAACAGCUCCAGAUCGUUCUUCGGGCCCCCGCCGCUUUGCCGGCUCUCUGCGACCUGCUAGCCUCGGCGGCCGACCCCCAGAUCCGCCAGUUUGCGGCCGUGCUGACCCGCAGACGACUGAACACCCGCUGGCGACGGCUGGCGGCGGAGCAACGGGAGAGCCUCAAGUCCCUGAUCCUGACGGCCCUGCAGAGAGAAACAGAGCACUGUGUGAGCCUCAGCCUGGCCCAGCUCUCAGCCACCAUUUUUCGAAAGGAAGGCUUGGAGGCCUGGCCACAGCUUUUGCAGCUGCUUCAGCACAGUACCCACAGCCCCCACAGCCCAGAGAGAGAGAUGGGGCUUUUGCUGCUAAGUGUGGUGGUGACCUCCCGGCCCGAGGCCUUCCAACCCCACCACCGGGAGCUUCUUCGGCUUCUGAAUGAGACUCUUGGUGAGGUGGGCUCUCCUGGGCUGCUCUUCUACUCCCUGCGCACUCUGACCACCAUGGCUCCCUACCUCAGCACUGAAGAUGUGCCUCUCGCUCGGAUGUUGGUGCCCAAGCUGAUCAUGGCCAUGCAGACUCUGAUCCCCAUAGAUGAGGCAAAGGCCUGUGAGGCCCUUGAGGCUUUGGAUGAACUGUUGGAGUCAGAGGUGCCGGUCAUCACCCCCUACCUCUCUGAAGUCCUCACAUUCUGCCUGGAGGUAGCUAGAAAUGUGGCCCUGGGCAAUGCGAUACGCAUACGUAUUCUCUGCUGCCUCACUUUCUUGGUCAAAGUCAAGAGCAAGGCCUUACUGAAGAAUCGUCUCCUGCCACCCUUGCUGCACACCCUUUUCCCCAUUGUGGCUGCUGAGCCCCCACCAGGCCAGUUGGAUCCCGAGGACCAGGAUUCAGAAGAGGAAGAGUUGGAGAUUGAGCUGAUGGGGGAGACUCCCAAGCAUUUCGCUGUACAAGUUGUGGACAUGCUGGCACUACACCUGCCCCCCGAGAAGCUCUGUCCCCAGCUGAUGCCCAUGUUGGAAGAGGCUUUGCGGAGCGAGAGCCCAUACCAGCGCAAAGCUGGACUCCUGGUGCUGGCCGUGCUGUCUGACGGAGCUGGCGACCACAUCAGGCAGAGACUGCUGCCCCCACUGCUGCAGAUUGUGUGCAAGGGCCUGGAGGACCCCUCGCAAGUUGUACGCAAUGCUGCGCUGUUUGCCCUGGGCCAGUUCUCAGAAAACCUACAGCCCCAUAUCAGCAGCUAUUCAAGGGAGGUAAUGCCACUGCUCCUCGCCUACUUGAAGUCGGUGCCUCUUGGACACACACACCACCUAGCCAAGGCCUGCUAUGCCCUGGAGAAUUUUGUGGAGAACCUAGGGCCCAAGGUGCAGCCCUACCUUCCGGAGCUUAUGGAAUGCAUGCUGCAGCUUCUGAGGAACCCCAGCAGUCCCCGGGCCAAGGAGCUGGCUGUGAGCGCCCUGGGAGCCAUUGCUACGGCUGCCCAGGCCUCGCUGCUGCCCUACUUCCCUGCCAUCAUGGAGCACCUGCGGGAAUUCCUGUUAACAGGCCGUGAGGACCUUCAGCCUGUGCAGAUCCAGAGCCUGGAGACACUGGGGGUGCUGGCACGAGCAGUGGGGGAGCCCAUGAGGCCGCUGGCUGAGGAAUGCUGCCAGCUGGGUCUGGGCCUCUGCGACCAGGUAGACGACCCUGACUUGCGGCGCUGCACGUACAGCCUAUUUGCAGCCUUAUCGGGUCUGAUGGGUGAGGGCCUGGCGCCCCACUUGGAACAGAUCACCACGCUCAUGCUGCUGUCACUGCGUUCCACCGAGGGCAUUGUGCCUCAGUAUGACGGGAGCAGCUCCUUCCUUCUGUUUGACGAUGAGAGUGAUGGGGAAGAAGAGGAGGAGCUCAUGGAUGAGGAUGUGGAAGAAGAGGAUGACUCAGAGAUCUCAGGGUACAGCGUGGAGAAUGCCUUCUUCGAUGAGAAGGAAGACACCUGUGCUGCCGUGGGGGAGAUCUCUGUGAACACCAGUGUGGCCUUCCUUCCAUACAUGGAAAGUGUCUUUGAAGAAGUAUUUAAACUGCUGGAGUGCCCUCACCUGAAUGUGCGGAAGGCAGCCCAUGAGGCUCUGGGUCAGUUUUGCUGUGCACUGCACAAGGCCUGUCAAAGCUGCCCCUCGGAACCCAACACUGCUGCUUUGCAGGCUGCCCUGGCCCGAGUCGUGCCAUCCUACAUGCAGGCAGUGAACAGGGAGCGGGAACGCCAGGUGGUGAUGGCCGUGCUGGAGGCCCUGACAGGGGUGCUCCGCAGCUGUGGGACCCUCACACUGAAGCCCCCUGGGCGCCUCGCUGAGCUCUGUGGCGUGCUCAAGGCUGUGCUGCAGAGGAAGACAGCCUGUCAGGAUACUGACGAGGAGGAGGAAGAGGAAGAUGAUGAUCAGCCCCUGACCUGGCUCCACAGGCUGAAUACGACGCCAUGUUGCUGGAGCACGCUGGAGAGGCCAUCCCUGCCCUGGCAGCCGCGGCUGGGGGAGACUCCUUUGCCCCAUUCUUUGCCGGUUUCCUGCCAUUAUUGGUGUGCAAGACAAAACAGGGCUGCACAGUGGCAGAGAAGUCCUUUGCAGUGGGGACCUUGGCAGAGACUAUUCAGGGCCUGGGUGCUGCCUCAGCCCAGUUUGUGUCUCGGCUGCUCCCUGUGCUGUUGAGCACCGCCCAAGAGGCAGACCCCGAGGUGCGAAGCAAUGCCAUCUUCGGGAUGGGCGUGCUGGCAGAGCAUGGGGGCCACCCUGCCCAGGAACACUUCCCCAAGCUGCUGGGGCUCCUUUUUCCCCUCCUGGCGCGGGAGCGACAUGAUCGUGUCCGUGACAACAUCUGUGGGGCACUUGCCCGCCUGUUGAUGGCCAGUCCCACCAGGAAACCAGAGCCCCAGGUGCUGGCUGCCCUACUGCAUGCCCUGCCACUGAAGGAGGACUUGGAGGAGUGGGUCACCAUUGGGCGCCUCUUCAGCUUCCUGUACCAGAGCAGCCCUGACCAGGUUAUAGAUGUGGCUCCCGAGCUUCUGCGUAUCUGCAGCCUCAUUCUGGCUGACAACAAGAUCCCACCAGACACCAAGGCCGCACUGUUGCUGCUCCUGACGUUCCUGGCCAAACAGCACACCGACAGCUUUCAAGCAGCUCUGGGCUCACUGCCUGUUGACAAGGCUCAGGAGCUCCAGGCUGUACUGGGCCUCUCCUAGACUGCAGGCUGCAGCCAGUCCAGAGAGAAUAGAGCCUGCCCAGGCCUUAAGACCACCUCUCAGCCCAGUUCAGUUCUGCCUUACCAAAGAUUCUGAGACUCAUACCCAUUUGGAGCCAGCCCCACUUGCUGCCUUACAGGGCUGUCCCUGAGGCUGGAUCUGUUACAAAUGAGUCAUGACAUCAUACUGUAAUAAAAGCAGCUUGUUUUCUGCUUGAACAAUA